UACGGAGGGAGCUAGCGUUGUUCGGAAUUACUGGGCGUAAAGCGCACGUAGGCGGCUUUGUAAGUUAGAGGUGAAAGCCCGGAGCUCAACUCCGGAAUUGCCUUUAAGACUGCAUCGCUUGAAUCCGGGAGAGGUGAGUGGAAUUCCGAGUGUAGAGGUGAAAUUCGUAGAUAUUCGGAAGAACACCAGUGGCGAAGGCGGCUCACUGGACCGGUAUUGACGCUGAGGAGCGAAAGCCAGGGGAGCAAACGGG
rnacentral:rRNA from 1 species